AUUGAACGCUGGCGGCAGGCCUAACACAUGCAAGUCGGACGGUAGCACAGAGAGCUUGCUCUCGGGUGACGAGUGGCGGACGGGUGAGUAAUGUCUGGGGAUCUGCCCGAUAGAGGGGGAUAACCACUGGAAACGGUGGCUAAUACCGCAUAACGUCGCAAGACCAAAGAGGGGGACCUUCGGGCCUCUCACUAUCGGAUGACCCCAGAUGGGAUUAGCUAGGAGGCGGGGUAACGGCCCACCAGGGAGACGAUCCCUAGCUGGUCUGAGAGGAUGAGCAGCCACACUGGAACUGAGACACGGUCCAGACUCCUACGGGAGGCAGCAGUGGGGAAUAUUGCACAAUGGGCGCAAGCCUGAUGCAGCCAUGCCGCGUGUAUGAAGAAGGCCUUCGGGUUGUAAAGUACUUUCAGCGGGGAGGAAGGCGAUGUGGUUAAUAACCGUAUCGAUUGACGUUACCCGCAGAAGAAGCACCGGCUAACUCCGUGCCAGCCGCCGCGGUAA
rnacentral:rRNA from 1 species